rnacentral:rRNA from 1 species
GUGCAGCAGGCGCGAAACCUCCGCAAUGUACGAAAGUGCGACGGGGGGAUCCCAAGUGUCAUGCUUUUUUGUAUGACUUUUCAUUAGUGUAAAAAGCUUUUAGAAUAAGAGCUGGGCAAGACCGGUGCCAGCCGCCGCGGUAACACCGGCAGCUCGAGUGGUAGCUGUUUUUAUUGGGCCUAAAGCGUUCGUAGCCGGUUUGAUAAGUCUUUGGUGAAAGCUUGUAGCUUAACUAUAAGAAUUGCUGGAGAUACUAUUAGACUUGAAGUCGGGAGAGGUUAGAGGUACUACCGGGGUAGGGGUGAAAUCCUAUAAUCCUGGGAGGACCACCUGUGGCGAAGGCGUCUAACUGGAACGAUCUUGACGGUGAGUAACGAAAGCCAGGGGCGCGAACCGGAUUAGAUACCCGGGUAGUCC